rnacentral:piRNA from 1 species
CAUUGACUGUGCCUUCUCAGAGAG